rnacentral:misc_RNA from 1 species
UUCUUUUUUUUUUUUUUCUUAUAAUAUUUUAUUGUUCAAAUUGUUUUAUGUUACUUCUCUAAUUACGUGUUUGGUUUUGCUUUUCUGAAUAAAUGAUGUCAGUAGUCAGUACAUUUUCGUUUUAAGGUUAAUUUAGCUUUUCCAUAGGUCCAUCCUUGAUCCAGUUGGGCAUAUAUUGACUAUUUCUUUUCAGCUGGGCAUUUAUUUGACUUUUUUAUUCUCUAGGCAGAAUAAUUAUGUGUGUCAUAUUUUGUGGAAUGAUAUUCUACAGGCAUAAAUAUCUGACAAUAACUGUUAUUAUUACUUUUAUAUAGUUGAGUACUCUAUAUAUGGAACCACUGCUGCUUCUGUUUUCUCUUAUCCAAAUGCUUAAACUUUCUCUAUCUUUUCCUUUUGGGUUUUUUUUAUGUUAUAGUAUCCAUUUAAUUUUGUCUUCAUCCAAUUUUCGAAUCCUAAAUACAAGUGAUGAAAUGAAAAUAAUGGAAAUGGAAAUGCAUAAUCUAUCUAUUAUGACUUCUGUAUAGGCUCAGAUAUUCUUAAGAGGAAUUGAUAUUAUUAAUUGAGAGAUUGUAGCAUACAAUAAUAAAUGGAAUAUCAGAGUCUUCCUUCUUGCAUCCAGUCCUGUUCAGUUCUAUAGAAAGUUUUGUGAUUGCAUCUGAAUUUCAUAAGUUUAAGUUGUGGAACUAUAUAUGAAGUACUAAGUAGCAGUUAACAUAGCCUAAUCCUAUUGUAGCAUUUGAGAUUUUAGGAUUGACUUAGGGUGAAAAGGAGAGAGAGAGAGAAAAAGAGGGGGAGAAUAUUCCAUCUUAUCCUUUCUUUUCUAGCAUUUGAUCUUCAAUUAAAGGUAUAGUUUGAGUAGUUAAAACAUGCAUUCUUUAGUUGACCGGAUCAUGGCUCAAGUACUGUCAAAGAAUCUGUUGUUAGAAGCAGGUGCAGGUAUUAUUUUGUUAUUUUCCCUCUCCAAUUUUGUUAUUUUCCCUCUCCAUACUUCUAAAGUAAAAUAUUAUACAAUUUUAUAGUUUUCAUUUUUUCCUUCUACAGGUUUAGUUCUGUAACUGAGCG